UACUAUUAUUUACAAUGAACCCUUUAUUUUUACUGAAUAUUUCUAUAAAGUUAUAGAACCUUUUAUGUUGAAACUAGUAACAAGAAGUUAAACUUCUCCUCAAUAUAAGUAUAAGUCGACUAGGAUAAACCAUCGACAAUUAACGCUUAAAUUAAAUGUAUUAACUCCACAAGAAAAACUUACAUUACCCCACGUUAAUCUUACACCAGAACAUUUAAGGAAAGAUUUAAAAAAAAGGAAGGAACUCGGCAAACAUUAACCCCGCCUGUUUACCAAAAACAUCGCCUUCUGAUAUAUUAUAGAAGGUCCAGCCUGCCCAGUGAAUUAAUUUAACGGCCGCGGUAUCCUAACCGUGCGAAGGUAGCGUAAUCACUUGUUCUUUAAAUGAGGACUAGUAUGAAUGGCACCACGAAGGUUAUACUGUCUCCCUUUUUUGAUCAGUUAAACUAAUCUUCACGUGAAGAAGCGUGAAUAAACAUAUAAGACGAGAAGACCCUAUGGAGCUUAAAAUUACACAACAAUUGUUAAAAAAAUCCUAAAUUUUAUAAAUAAUUUUUUACUAAACACCAUGAUUGCUAAUUUUUGGUUGGGGUGACCGCGGAGUAAAAAUUAACCUCCACAAUGAAAGAAAUCAAUAUUCUAAACUAAGAGCUACAACUCAAAGUAUUAAUAUUUUAACAUUCUUUGAUCCAAUAUUUGAUCAACGAACAAAGUUACCCUAGGGAUAACAGCGCAAUCUACUUUGAGAGCUCCUAUCGACAAGUAGGUUUACGACCUCGAUGUUGGAUCAGGGUAUCCUAGUGGUGCAGCCGCUACUAAUGGUUC
rnacentral:rRNA from 1 species